rnacentral:rRNA from 1 species
GAUGAACGCUGGCGGCGUGCCUAAUACAUGCAAGUCGAGCGAAUGGAUUAAGAGCUUGCUCUUAUGAAGUUAGCGGCGGACGGGUGAGUAACACGUGGGUAACCUGCCCAUAAGACUGGGAUAACUCCGGGAAACCGGGGCUAAUACCGGAUAACAUUUUGAACCGCAUGGUUCGAAAUUGAAAGGCGGCUUCGGCUGUCACUUAUGGAUGGACCCGCGUCGCGUUAGCUAGUUGGUGAGGUAACGGCUCACCAAGGCAACGAUGCGUAGCCGACCUGGGAGGGUGAUCGGCCACACUGGGACUGAGACACGGCCCAGACUCCUACGGGAGGCAGCAGUAGGGAAUCUUCCGCAAUGGACGAAAGUCUGACGGAGCAACGCCGCGUGGGUGAUGAAGGCUUUCGGGUCGUAAAACUCUGUUGUUAGGGAAGAACAAGUGCUAGUUGAAUAAGCUGGCACCUUGACGGUACCUAACCAGAAAGCCACGGCUAACUACGUGCCAGCAGCCGCAGUAA